GAUUAACGCUGGCGGCGUGCAUAACACAUGCAAGUCGAACGAUGAAACUCAUUAGAUUUCUUCGGAAUGAAAAUGAAUGGAUUAGUGGCGAACGGGUGAGUAACGCGUGAGUAACCUGCCUUACACAAGGGGAUAGCCUCUGGAAACGGAGAAUAAUACCCUAUGAAACCAGACAAUCGCAUGAUAAUCUGGUCAAAAUGUUUAGUGGUGUAAGAUGGACUUGCGUCUGAUUAGCUAGUUGGUGAGAUAAAAGCUCACCAAGGCAACGAUCAGUAGCCGGCUUGAGAGAGUGUACGGCCACAUUGGGACUGAGACACGGCCCAGACUCCUACGGGAGGCAGCAGUGAGGAAUUUUGCACAAUGGGGGAAACCCUGAUGCAGCGACGCCGCGUGAUUUAGAAGGCCUUCGGGUUGUAAAAAUCUUUUGUAUAGGAAGAAAAUGACAGUACUAUACGAAUAAGGUCCGGCUAAUUACGUG
rnacentral:rRNA from 1 species